rnacentral:rRNA from 1 species
GACGAACGCUGGCGGCGUGCCUAAUACAUGCAAGUCGAGCGAGCUUGCCUAGAUGAUUUUAGUGCUUGCACUAAAUGAAACUAGAUACAAGCGAGCGGCGGACGGGUGAGUAACACGUGGGUAACCUGCCCAAGAGACUGGGAUAACACCUGGAAACAGAUGCUAAUACCGGAUAACAACACUAGACGCAUGUCUAGAGUUUGAAAGAUGGUUCUGCUAUCACUCUUGGAUGGACCUGCGGUGCAUUAGCUAGUUGGUAAGUAACGGCUUACCAAGGCAAUGAUGCAUAGCCGAGUUGAGAGGGUGAUCGGCCACACUGGAACUGAGACACGGUCCAGACUCCUACGGGAGGCAGCAGUAGGGAAUCUUCCGCAAUGGGCGAAAGCCUGACGGAGCAACGCCGCGUGAGUGAUGAAGGUC